rnacentral:rRNA from 1 species
AUUGAACGCUGGCGGCAGGCCUAACACUUGCAAGUCGAGCGGAGCGGCGGACGGGUGAGUAAUGCCUAGGAAUCUGCCUGGUAGUGGGGGAUCACGUCCGGUAACGGGCGCUUAUACCGCAUACUAUCAGAUGAGCCUAGGUCGGAUUAGCUAGUUGGUGGGGUAAAGGCCUACCAAGGCGACGAUCCGUAACUGGUCUGAGAGGAUGAUCAGUCACACUGGAACUGAGGCACGGUCCAGACUCCUACGGGACGCACCAGUGGGGAAUAUUGGAGAAUGGGCGGAAGCCUGCUCCUGCCAUGCCGCGUAUGUGAAGAAGGUCUUCGACUUGUAACGCACUGUAGGUUGGGAGGCGUUAACAACAGAAUAAGCACCGGCUAACAUCGUGCCAGCAGCCGCGGUAAUUC